UACGUAGGGGGCAAGCGUUGUCCGGAGUUAUUGGGCGUAAAGAGCGUGUAGGCGGCUAGGUAGGUCCGUUGUGAAAACUCGAGGCUCAACCUCGAGACGCCGGUGGAAACCAUCUAGCUAGAGUCCGGAAGAGGAGAGUGGAAUUCCUGGUGUAGCGGUGAAAUGCGCAGAUAUCAGGAAGAACACCCGUGGCGAAGGCGGCUCUCUGGUACGUGACUGACGCUGAGACGCGAAAGCG
rnacentral:rRNA from 1 species